CUACGUAGGGGGCGAGCGUUGUCCGGAAUGAUUGGGCGUAAAGGGCGCGUAGGCGGCCCGGUAAGUCUGGAGUGAAAGUCCUGUUUUUAAGAUGGGAAUUGCUUUGGAUACUGUCGGGCUUGAGUGCAGGAGAGGUAAGUGGAAUUCCCAGUGUAGCGGUGAAAUGCGUAGAGAUUGGGGGGAACACCAGUGGCGAAGGCGACUUACUGGACUGUAACUGACGCUGAGGCGCGAAAGUGUGGGGAGCAAACAGGAUUAGAUACCCUGGUAGUCCACACUGUAAACGAUGAAUGCUAGGUGUAGGGGGUAUCGACCCCUUCUGUGCCGCAGUCAACACAAUAAGCAUUCCGCCUGGGGAGUACGGCCGCAAGGUUGAAACUCAAAGGAAUUGACGGGG
rnacentral:rRNA from 1 species